rnacentral:tRNA from 1 species
GGACACGUGCCUGAAUAAAGGAUUACCUUGAUAGGGUAAAUUAUAGAGGCUAAUAAUCCUCUCGCGUCUU